ensembl:snoRNA SNORA70 Small nucleolar RNA SNORA70
CUGCAGCCAAUUAAGCCGACUGUGCUCCUUUCCCCAUAGGGGCGUGGUGUGCAAUGGCUGCAAACAGCAGCAUCCUUGGUAGUGUGCGCAGCCUAUUGUCUGUAUGGGUUGUUCUAAGGGACCUUGGAGACAGUC